AAGACUGUAAUUCAGUGAAAAUCAAAUAAAGUGAUUUUUUGUAGUGCUCCAUCAGUAGAUCUGUUUGUCACCUUUGUGGCUGUCAUAGAAGCAUGAUAUAUUCAAUACAGGGGAGCGGGAAUAGGGGGAUAUGAAUGAUUGUCAGUGGACAUAAUAUUUGCACAGAUAUGGCAGUUAACUGCCUCUUUACUGUGUUACAGACCAUUCAUAAUCACUGCCAUCACUCUAGAGUUUUCUACCAGAUACUUUUAUGAAAAUAUUGUUUAAAAAGAAUUAGAAGAUGAGGUGGAUAGAAAUUCAGGUCAUACUGAACCGAGUUUGCAAGCAGUUCCAGAAGUAGCAAAGCUGAUCAUUUUCUGUAGGUCUGAUAUCAGAGAGUAAUCUCACAUUCUUGCUUCUUCUUCAUGGGUCAAUAAUUAGGUCAAACUUUUAACAGCUGUCAGAGACCUCCCCCAUUCUGUUGUUCUUUGUUAAGUGGUCCCAGCAUGUUUAAAAGUUUUCAGGGAAAGGGAAGAAACAGCAGCUACAUGCAAUGCUUGCCUGGACUGUGGGAUCAGGUUGGCAUUGUUUUCUUAGACUAAAUUAACAUAAUCGCUCUUGGAGGUGAAAUGCACAGUUGCAAUCAGCCAAAAAGGCACAGAUCCUUUACUCACUUCCAACAGACAGCCUCUUGUCUUCAGUGCUUUCCAUCACACCUGCAGGUGUUAUACUCUUCAGUAGGAGAAAAUCAUUAAUUCUUUCCUUGAAAAGCUCAAAUUUGAAAAAGCCAAUGUUCCCCUGCAAUGACCUUGCUGCCUUAUGAUACUCGGCAGGAAGAGAAAAUCAGUAACUUUUUCCUUGAAAGGCUCAAAUAUGAAAAAGCUAGAGUUCCCCUACAGUGACCCUUUUGCUGCUUUACUCCCACCUCCCUUUCAUCAUCUCACUUCUCAUGGGGCUUGAAGAAAAAUGCGUACACCUUAAGUUAGGGAAAAGCUCUGUAACUGUACAAUUCACAGGUGGAGUUUAAGGAAGGUGAACUAAGGGGCACUGAGUCUGUAAUUUCUUUCAUGUGUUCUGUAUGUUUGUGCAACACAGAGCUAGCAGGGCCUUUCCGGGCUCCCUGGAGACACCCAAAAAGCUUCGUAGUAGAAGGGAGUGAGUGCAGCAAGUAUGCAGGCAGCUGAAGGGCAGCCCGGAGAUGAUUUUCAAACCACAGCAGAGGAAACUGUCAAGGAAAUGUGACAGUAGGGGAGAUACCUGCACGAGCUCAUAAGCUCUGUGCUCCUCCACUACCUGUGGAAGUCUUGUGCAAAUCUGUGAAUUCAGUGGGCUCGAGUUUAUCCCAGGCUUUGCUCUGCUCCUGGUUCCAGAUACAUGCUUUGGCCAGCACAGGUGUUUGAGAGGUGAUGAAAGGCUUCUGUUGAGGGCCUGAGCCCUGCUCUGUUGACUUUGAUUUUCUUGCUCAACUCCCAGUCUGUUCUUGUAGAAUGACAGCUUCAGUUUGGAUAAUCCUCUGUGUGGACUUGCUUGUCAUGUUUACAGAGGUGUUAAAUGGAAGCUGAGGUCUUUCUCUGGGAGAACGAAAAAGCAUGAUGAGGUUCAGUCAUGAUGAGGUACAG